CGUGAACUAUACAUUUUCGUAUGCGUAUCAUUCGCAUACCGUCAAGAAUCGAAUUCCUAGAGCCAUUUAUUGAGAGAGAGAGUCCAUUAAAAAACUAUAAAAAAAUUAGAUUGUGGUAAAUGCACUCGUAAUGCACGGGACUAUUUUUUCUUUCUUUUAAAAAGAGGAGGAUUUGGACGAGGUAUGCCGUUUUAACGUUCGUUCCACGUUAUUUCUUAGCUGCACCAAGAAGAUUAUCAUCUCUGAUUUGCCGCAAUUGGGCAAAAAGGGCGAGUGCGCUUAUGGGUCGUUAGAAGCAAACGUGCUGCGGCAGAGUAGCAGACGUCGUUCAAAGUUGAUUAAACGUCAAUAACAUCUGCCUGAGUCGGUUUUAUCUCAGAUAGCACAACGCCUAGAAGUCUUCUUUCAGCGUGAAUGUGUUGCUUGUUUUCUCAUGAAAAACAGUGGAAAAAAACUAAAGAUAUCACUUGCUUAAAUAUGGUUGUCAUAAUAAGAUAUUAAUGUUAUUUUUCACAUUUUGUACAUGAUAGUUGUACCUACCCACACAAUAAAGAUGUCCAAAAUAUAUCAUAGGGAUAUCCUAAAAAUAUAUUUGGGAUAUGCGAUAUCUUCAAGAUAUCCUUAUGAUAUAUGUGGGACAUUCUUGCUGUGUGGGUAUAAUAUUCUGGAAAUAGUACAUUUAACUUUCUUUGCUACUUA